GGCGAUAUAGCAAAACGGUUAAGGCGGCAGUCUGCAAAACUGCUAUUAUCAGUUCGAUUCUGAUUAUCGCCU
rnacentral:tRNA from 1 species